rnacentral:tRNA from 1 species
AUCUCAGUGGUUAGUGCACAGCCACUGAUAGGUCGAGACGCGGGUUCGAAUCCCGCCUGAGAUG